rnacentral:lncRNA from 1 species
ACACACUGGGCCAUGCACUUUUCCUUUCUGUCCCCCUCUAUGAAGCGGAGUGUGGAUGCAACUGUCACCAGUUGUACAGAGCCAUCCAAGGCAGUGACAGCAAAUGAGUGGCAACAGUACUGGCAACUCAGAUUGAGAGACGCUGCCAAGAGUGGCGGAUUGAAAAGGCUAUGCCAAGAGCACAGAAUCAAUCAGAACCUGUGAGGAGCCUCUUCCCUCCAAGAUGAUGGCCAACAAAUACUCCCAAGCUUAGAAGUGGUGUCUUUCAUAUUUAAUGAAAUACACGAUCUCUGAGCCUCAUAAAAUUUGAGGCCCCUGCUCCAGUGCAAAGGAGGGUGUUCCAUAUGGUCUUUGCGGUUACAUAUACUGAAUGUCUGAUAAGCUGCUGACAUAUCUGCAAAUAGUCACCAACCAAACAAGGGUAA